rnacentral:lncRNA from 1 species
UUUUGGCGCCCAUACCGGACAGGGUAUGGGGACGGCCCUGGAAUCAGAUUGUAAUGCUAAUGGUUCACGGGUAGCGGGGACCCCCUAUGGAUCCCCAUGAAUACUAGUAGGCUGGUAAAAGAGGAAAAUAUGUUGUUUAAUGAUUGAAAUGCAAAGGUGUGUUAAGUGUUAUGUUGUAAAGUUUAUAUGAUUUCAUGAUGAUGAUAAUGUUAUUGCUUUCAUAUGUUGUUUUCAUGGAUCUCACCGAGGUAAGUGGACAGUAAAGGUUUUUAUGUUAAUAAAUGAGUUUGUUAUAAAUUAUGCUCCAUUAGUCAUUUUUGUUUUCUACCCACCUUUACUUACGUGGCGGUGAGAUAGUGUGAUGUUUUUACUGGGCUGGUGUAGCUCAUUCCUUAUUUAACCAUUUCAGAUCAGGAAGACGUUGUUCCCGAGCCCGUUCCGCAGGAAGAUGGCGAAGGGGAUGCCUAAAGACUUCAUAGUUAUAUCUAUAGUUCUUAUUUCGAGUAUCUCUUUUAGUUAGUUUGUUCCUUCAUGUUUUGAGUACGUUUUGGUUAUUGUGUAAGGGAUGUUAAUCAAAAUUUUUAUUACGCUUCCGCAUUUGAGAUUUUUAAUACAUACAUUUUAUUUAAAUUUC